CUGCUGCCUCCCGUAGGAGUUUGGACCGUGUCUCAGUUCCAAUGUGGGGGACCUUCCUCUCAGAACCCCUAUCCAUCGUCGUCUUGGUGGGCCGUUACCCCGCCAACUAACUAAUGGAACGCAUCCCCAUCGAUAACCGAAAUUCUUUAAUAUCAAGAUCAUGCGAUCUUGAUAUCCUAUCGGAUAUUAAUCUUUCUUUCGAAAGGCUAUCCCCGAGUUAUCGGCAGGUUGGAUACGUGUUACUCACUCGUGCGCCGGUCG
rnacentral:rRNA from 1 species